GACGAGGAUCGCGGCGGGUGAGGAAGCAGCGCAACGAGCGGCAGGAUUGUUUCUCCGACUAACCACCAGCGACACGAAGAGUUAUAAUCAUCCAUUGGAUAUAUACACCUAAUAUUGUUGCUUCCCAAAACUAAAAUAAUAUACAUAGUUAUAUUAUUAUAGAGAAUUUCCAGUUAGUCAACUCAGGGCAGCAACCCUGACCGGUAAGUUGUAUUCCGACAGUCAUCGGAAGAAGAAGAAACAUGUUGCGUCCAGUUUCCCAGUUCAAAAAACCAAUACACGUUUGUAUUGCGUUGUUCGAUAGUUCAACGUUCCAUCAUUAUAUUAUUUAUAAUUUUAAUAUAUCGACAAAGGUAAGUAUACAGGUUGGGUAAGUAUGGAAGACCUAAUUUUAUUUCCUUUUUAAAAAACAUUGUUGAAGAAAGAAGAUGGGAUGUACAAAGUUAUUUCGUUCCGAAUAUCGGUUUUUAUUAAAAAAUCUAUUUCUAAACGUUCAAUGUGUUUCAGCUAAUAUGGUA